UCCCUUUCACCUGUCCCAGGGCAGAACACUACUGUCUUUCUGAUGGAGGGUCUUAAGACCCUCCAAUGAGGGGUCCCACCCUGUGCCCUGGGGGAAGGAAUGCUGACAUCAUGAAACUUCCUUAAAACCCAGUGGACAGGGUUCAAGGAGUCUCCAAACAGCUGAACAUGCUGAGGUUCCUGGGGGGUGGCACCCAGGGAGGGCAUAGAAGCUCCACACCCUGCCCCGCAUCCCUCAUCCCACGUUCUCUUCAUUGGUAUCCUUUGCAAUAUCUUUUACAAUAAACCAGUAAACAUAAGUAAGGGUUUCACCAAGUUCUGUGAGCUGCUCCAGCAAAUUCAUCAAAGCCAAAGCGGGGGUUCUGGGGACCCCAACUUGAAGCUCGUGGGCCAGAAGUUCCAGAGAGGCCCAGACUUAUCACUGGUGUGCGGGUAGGGGCGGUCUUGGGGACUGAGCCCUUAACCAGUGGGAUCUGACACUAUCUCUGGGUAGACAGUGUUGGAACUGAAUUAGAGGAUACUCAGCUGGUGUCUCUAGUCAUGUGCUGAUGAUUGUUGUCGUGUGAGAACAAAGAAAAAAACACAGAGAGUUUUCCCUACACACAGCCCAAAAUACUAUCUUUAAAAAAUUUUGAAGACAGGUUAACCAAAGGUUCUGGAAGCCAUCCAUGUCCAAAACAAACCAAAUGUGUUGCCCGUAAAACAUCUGCUCUUGAAAAGUAGUCCCUUGGCGAGGUGCGGUGGCUCACACCUGUAAUCUCAGCAUUUGGGAGGCCAAGGCAGGCAGAUCAGUAAGUCAGGAGAUCAAGACCAUCCUGGCUAACACAGUGAAAUCCCGUCGCUACUAAAAAUACAAAAAAUUAGCCUGGUGUGGUGGUGGGCACCUGUAGUCCCAGCUACUCAGGAGGCUGACUCAGGAGAAUCACUUGAACCUGGGAGGCGGAGGUUGCAGUGAGCAGAGAUGGUGCCACCGCACUCCAGCCUAGCAACAGAGUGAAACUCUGUCUCAAAAAAAAAAAAAAAAA
rnacentral:lncRNA from 1 species